rnacentral:rRNA from 1 species
UACGUAGGGUGCAAGCGUUGUCCGGAAUUAUUGGGCGUAAAGAGCUCGUAGGCGGUUUGUCGCGUCUGCUGUGAAAACUCGGGGCUUAACCCCGGCCUGCAGUGGGUACGGGCAGACUAGAGUGCGGUAGGGGAGACUGGAAUUCCUGGUGUAGCGGUGGAAUGCGCAGAUAUCAGGAGGAACACCGGUGGCGAAGGCGGGUCUCUGGGCAGUAACUGACGCUGAGGAGCGAAAGCGUGGGGAGCGAACAGG